rnacentral:rRNA from 1 species
CAGUCGCCGCGGUAAUACGUAGGUGGCAAGCGUUGUCCGGAAUUAUUGGGCGUAAAGGGCUCGCAGGGGGUUUCUUAAGUCUGAUGUGAAAGCCCCCGGCUCAACCGGGGAGGGUCAUUGGAAACUGGGAAACUUGAGUGCAGAAGAGGAGAGUGGAAUUCCACGUGUAGCGGUGAAAUGCGUAAAGAUGUGGAGGAACACCAGUGGCGAAGGCGACUCUCUGGUCUGUAACUGACGCUGAGGAGCGAAAGCGUGGGGAGCGAACAGGAUUAGAUACCCCAGUAGUCCCUGUCUCUUAUAC